UGGAAUGGGGGAAGGGACCCAGAUGGGCCCUCGUCCAGCGAAGAGGGUCAGCUGUCAGGUCCGGGACGCCUUGAAGUUGAUGCAACCUCGGGUUCCCCACCCCACCCCGGCCAAGCCUAGGAUGAGCGCGGUGCUGCGGGUCGGCGGGUCCGGGACCCCGAGUGCUCGCAUCCCAGGUUCAAGCCAGGAAGGAGCCAGAGGAGGGAGCCGCGUCUACAGGGGCACCCCGGCUCCGACAGGUGACGACUCCACCUCCUCUUGGAUGCCUCCACUGACGAUGACCUCACCACCUAACAAGGCUGUUUGUCCCUCCAUCAAGCCUGGAGUGGAACUCACCUGUGCUGGAUACCGCACCUAGUGGGAGCAGCGGGUGAGAGCCAGCGAGGUCACACAGCUGCAGCAUCCGCAGCAACCCCGGGCAGCUCAGGAGGCUUCUCCUCUAGGUACCCAGGCACUCAGCAGUGCCCUCUGAGCCAUUUUGCAAAGGGAUGGGGGGGGGGCACUGAACCCUAGGAGGCCACCUCUGCCUAACGCUGGAUUUCUCAGCCUGGACAGUAGGAAUCGUUGGGGCCAGACAGUGCUGUUCUCGAGGCUGCACUGUGCAUUGUAGGGUGCUCAACCAUCCUUGCGCCCCCCCCCCGAUGUGACAGACAUUGCCACACGUCCCUGGGGGCAAAAUCACCUGGGUUGUGCCCACUAGUCUAACACCUUCAUUUCACAGACGAGGAGACUGAGGCCUAGAGAGAGGCAAUGAGUUCCCCUAGGUCACACAGCAGGCAGAGGCAGACAGGACCAAAGCCCAGUGCUCUGGUGAGUGUGCCGCCAGGCCCUCUGCCCUCCACACCUCGGCCAGGCCGCUCUCCUCACCCCCAUGUCCCCUACUUUCCUGGACGUUCCCUCAGUUCAGCCUUCACAAGUUAGAGGGGAAAGAAUCUGCAUCUGAGGAUACAUUAAAAGUACCGCCUCCUGGUGGGAAGGUGAAAUGUGCAACCGCUCUGGGGACUGGGGACUGGUGGGAGGUCCUCAACAGUUCGACAUGGUUACCCAAUGAGGCAGCAAUUCCACUCCUAGGAAUAUACCCAAGAGAAGCGAAAACACUGCCAUACAAAGCUCGCACAUGACUGUUCCUAUCAGCCUUACUCAUGAUGAUCAAGUGGGAAGCAGCCCAGUGUCCCUGAGCUGAUAGGGGAUAAACACAAUGUGGCAUGGAUGGUUAUUCAGCCAGGAAAAGGAAUGAAGCCCCAGAGACAUGCUUGCUGUAACAUGAAUGGACCUUGAAAGCAGGCUAAGUCAAAGGCACCAGUCACGAAGAGCCUCAUUCCAUUUAUAUGAAAUGUUCAGGACAGGCAGAUUCACUGAGGCAGAAAGUGAGUUGGUGGCUGCCAGAAACACGGAAAAGAGAGAGUAGGGAAUGCCUGGUCAUAGUUACAGGGUUUCUUUUGGGGGUGAUGAAAGUCUUCUAAAAUUGAUUGUGGUGAUCAUUGCUCAACUUUGUGGCUAUACUAAAAACCACUGAAUUACACACUUUAAGUGGGUGAAUUGUAUGGCAUGUGAAUUGUAUCCCAAUAAAGCCAUUUUUUUAAAAGAAAAAACACAAAAAGUAUGGCCCCCAGGAGGCCACCCUGACUGCUGCAGCCCAUAUCACUUCCCCCCCGUAACUCAGAUUCCUACAGGCCUCGCUUGCUAGGUUCAUGACCAGGCCCUACUGACUUCUCUCCUCCAAGGCGAAUGCAUCUCUUCCACCAUUUCCCUUAACAGGGCUCUGGCUUCCUGUUUGAAAAGUGGGCACUGAGGACAGACCAACAGGUUCGAAUUCAACUCCAAGGCCUUCUAGCUGAGUGGGCUUGGGCAAGACCCUUCCCGGAGCCUCGCUUGCUCAUCUGAUGAAGACGAGUGAGGUGGCCAAGAAAGCAUAACCCCCACCCCAUGAUUACUUCUUGCUCCUAAGACAAGCCCACAAACCACUGGCUCCCUGACCCAGGCAGUGGUCCAUCCAACUACUGUGCCUGGAACUGUUCUUCAGCCCCUUCUAGACUGUCCUAGGCAAGAGGAAUGCCAUGCUAUCAGUUCUCACCCAGAAAAGGCUUCCUUCAGCUCCUUGAGUUGCUGCUGAGAAACAGGAAAGGCCUCUCAGAGCCUGGGUUCCAUGGGACCAGCCCCACGGAGUCCUCCUGAAAGUCCUACUGCUCACCUGUUCUGAGAAGCCAGAAUUCCUCAUGUGGACACCAGAUGAGGACCCAUGGUGAUCCUGUUGCUGACAGCUGACCAAAGAGGAGGCUGCCAGGAUUUCAGAAAUCUGAGCAGCUGCUGUUAUUAACUGAGGCCUCUGGUGAACCCUGACCAGACAUAAGGUCGGCCAAUCAGAGCCCAGCAUUCACCAGUACAGUGAUUGGUUCAUGAAUGAGCACAUGACUCUCCUGGACCAAUCAGAUCCCUCCCUGAGACUGGCUGGCACUAUCAGGGAAUACCUCAGUCUCCCUUAGACCCCAAGCUAGCCUUAAACUGAGAGAUUACAAACUGGGGGCCAUGCUGGGCCACCACAUAGUACACUUCUACUCAGAAUGAAGCCAUGAUAGAGGAAAGCAAGUGGACAGAGAUUCUGCCCUAGGGACAUUCUUUGAGGCUUGGAUUUUGGCGUCCUUAAAGAGAGCUGUACUGUUGGCCGUCGAUUAAAAGAGCCAAUAACAGUUCUUUUUAUUUACUUUUCCUUUCUUAAAAAUGCAAACUCAGUCAGGAAAGGUGGUGCAUGCUUGUAAUCCCAACACUUGGGAUGCUGAGGCAAGAGGAUUGCUGCGAGUUCGAAGCCAGCCUGCACUACAUAGCAAGACCUUGUGCCAAAAAGCAAACAAACCAAAACAAAAAAGUGCAAACUCAUCUGAGGCAAGCUUCUGUUAGUGGUCCUCAGGAGAUUUCAGAUUAUGCAUGGUGGCAGCCUCACCCAACACCUUCUGUUGUUUGCUAAGCCCUUCACACACUCCUCUCUCGUCAGAGGUGAGAGCAAGAUGCUGGGUCCUGGGAAGGAAUCUGGAUUUUUUCAGGGGGAGGUUGUCCUGAGGAAGGCCAACUCUGAGCCUCCUUGAAGUUUUUAGGGGCUGUUAGUGAAGAAAGAAGUCUCACAGUACAGUCUUGUUUUUCAAACCCCCCAAACCUUGCUGAGUUGGGAACAGCAUGUCCUGUCAACAGAAAUUUCCCUGCUCUGUCGUGGAUAAGAGCUUGACUUGAGUCAGGCUGCCAGUGAGCAGAUCCCUUACUUUGCCUCUCCCGGGGUCAUUUUCCUCCCAUAAGGUGGGGUAGUAAUAGUGCCUACCUCAUAGGGUUGCCACAUGUUACUAGAGCUAAUGUAGGAAAGGCGCUUUGGACCCAGCAUAUGGUGGGUGCUCAGUACACAUUAACUGGUAUUUAUAUCAUGGCUAAGGCCUUCAGUGUAUCAAUCAGGUUUUCCAGGGAACAAAUAAAUGGCUCUCCUGAAUAGAAUAAUUUGAGAAGGAUUUAAGAAAUAUAUACAUACAAGGGAGAGGGCCACAACCCUCAGAUUUGUUUCCAUCUUGAGCUCAGAAGGUAAAGAAUAGGGUGGCUAUCAGACCUAGAAGCAGACAGUCCUGUCUUGUAGAAAGACCACAGGGGAGGAGUGGGGCACGCACACGUGGCCACCCCAAGGGAGCCAGCCAGAAAAGCAAGAGCUCAGAUUCUCCGUCCUCCCUGCAGUCUCCUGCAGUGGCUCCCAACUGCCAAACCCAACUGGAAGCAAAGGACACAGUGGUCCAUUUGUCAGCUCAUGGAGGUCCAUUGGGCUGGGGGGAGGUUAGGCCAAAAUGGCAAAGCUAUAGAGUGGUAGUCACUGGCUCCAACCCCACAGCCUCUGGGUGUGAACCAUGGACAAAUCCAUCAAGACACUGGAUAUGGGGACGAAGCCUCUGAGACCCUCCAGCCCAGCUGGUCUUCUGUUAGCUAACUGCCACACAGCAACCCUGUCAGUGUCUCAUUGGACAGAAGAAUCACCAGACAAGUCUGGUAAAUCUGAUAGAACUAUGCUAAAGCUGGUAAAAAUUAUAAUAAAGUUGAUUGCUAUUUGGGA